rnacentral:lncRNA from 1 species
GACCUUUUUCAUAAGUACAUGGCACUAUAUACAUUCCAGAGGAAGGACCACUGUCUACACAUGGUGUCAGGGGAGGGGUAGGGAGACAGGACACAGUCAGGAGGGGUAGGGGAGACAGGACACCGUCAGGAGGGGUAGGGGAGACAGGACACAGUCAGGAGGGGUAGGGAAGACAGGACACAGUCAGGAGGGGUAGGGGGGACACAGUCAGGAGGGUUAGGGAGAACAGGACACAGUCAGGAGGGGAGGAGACAGGACACAGUUUUUUCCCCCCCCAGGGCAAGGGGUAGGGAGACAGGACACAGUCAGGAGGGGUAGGGGGACACAGGACACAUCAGGAGGGUUAUGGGGGACCAGAGUGGUGAGGGAGACAGGACAAAAACAAUUUUUCAAGGGGGGUAGGGAGACAGGACACAGUCAGGAGGGGUAGGGGAGACAGUACAAACCUAGUGGACAGGAACAGUCGUAGGGGAGGAGACAGUCGAGGGAGAGACAGGACACAGUCAGGAGGGGUAGGGGGGACACAGUCAGGAGGGUAGGGAGACAGGACAAGUCAGGAGGGUUAGGAGACAGGACACAGUUUUCCCCCCCAGGCAAAGGGUAGUAGGGAGACGGACACAGUCAGGAGGGGUAGGGG